UCAGCCUAAUAAUUUUCCACGAUUGUUUUUAACGGCUGCUUAUCGCCUCUUGAUAAGCGCAUGCGCACACGCAGUAAUUCCCAUCCCCCACCCCUGACUUUUCAACUCCAGCCAGAGUGACUUCACUUCAACCGUCACUUUUCAAUCAUGAAUCUGACUGCAUUUUUCAACUCUGUACAAACAUCAUAUUCAAGUAGGUGGUGUGAGGACUGCUGCCCUGAGAACGCUGUGUCAGAGACACUUAGGCUGUGUGCAUUUUGGAAUGUUCCAAAUGUGUGUCACUUCCAUAAGGAAGAAGUUCCAAGCCUGCAAUUUAUCCCCUCCUUUCAUGUGUCUGUUAUGACUUUGUGGGCUCAACUGUCAACAACUGUCCAGGGCGAAGUCGGUCUACCCUGAUGGCACUACCCUGAUGAUGUCUGUUAGCCAUGGCUGCUGCCCUCAACAUGGUGAGCCAUCCAGAAGUCCCAGCCUGGAGCCAGAGGCUGCUAUUGCAAGUCAGAUGGGAGAUGGCCUACAGUAUGUUAGGCAUCAGAAAAGUGGUGUUCGCAUGAAGGCAGAGUUGCCGCAGGCAAUUAUGAGAUUAGACACUUGACAUUUACUGCGAAAGGUACCAUCAGAGCACCUCUCCCUACCCUGCAGGAUACCUAUACCAGAAGAGUACAACAACGGGCCAAAAGUAUUUCAAAAGACAUUUCACGCUCUGACCACGGACUGUUUAAACCACUGAGGUCAAGCAGACGUCUCUGUUCCCAUGUGGCAGACUGAGGGAACACCCACAAAACAGACUGGGGAUGAGUUUCUUUACUCCGCAUCCUGUACACACACAACUCCUUAUACUACAUUACAUAGACUUGCCAGUUGCCAUACUGCACUUACACACACUGCGCUUUUAACCCCCUUAUCUGUGUCAAAUCAGAUAAGGUUGUGGUUGUGUUCAAACCAUGUCUACUGUUGUCUGUCAACAUCCACUUCAGUCAUACAUUUGAAAUGUCUUAAAUAAAUAACAAAAGUUAAAAUUG